rnacentral:misc_RNA from 1 species
AAAAUCCUCUAAUAUUUGUAAAAAUUAAAAGAGAAAAAGUCUAAAUUAUAGAGAAAAAGAAUGUAUAUAUUAUCUUGUCAAUUGUUCCAAAGUAUUUUAUUCAAGCCAGAUCCUUUUACUGAAAGUCCAGCCAGUUGUGGUCUCACUAAAGUGGGACUGGUACUACUGGUUAACAGUUCUAUCCAUUAAUUGCAUGAAGUG